UCUAAGCCUUCAUUUUCAACACUUGCAAAUUAUUUCGUACCUUCUUUAACAGUGAGACCAAGCCCGUGAACACGGAAAUGCUUCCAAAGCGUAUCCACUGUGUCUGUGCCUGCUGUGUGCAUGACAAACUUCAGAGUUAGGAUGAGAGGUCACAGUUUGGCUGUGAUCCUCAAGACAUGAUCCAGGAAAAGAGCUUGGACACAAUGGUUCAGAAAGACAGGUCUGUUAGUGAGCCUCUGCAGGCAUGCAUUUUGCAUUGAGAACGUCUGCAUUAUUGAAUUUCUGGAAUCCUAGGGAAGUGGU
rnacentral:lncRNA from 1 species